UACGUAGGGGGCAAGCGUUGUCCGGAUUUAUUGGGCGUAAAGAGCGUGUAGGCGGCCAGACAGGUCCGUUGUGAAAACUCGAGGCUCAACCUCGAGACGCCGAUGGAAACCGUCUGGCUAGAGUCCGGAAGAGGAGAGUGGAAUUCCUGGUGUAGCGGUGAAAUGCGCAGAUAUCAGGAAGAACACCCGUGGCUAAGGCGGCUCUCUAGUACGGUACUGACGCUGAGACGCGAAAGCUGGGGAGCGAACAGG
rnacentral:rRNA from 1 species